UUUUUGUAGGAUCCAUCUAAUGAGCUCUAUCGCAAGUCCUUAGAAGUCACAAAUAAGGCACCAGAGUUGCACAUGGAGAUCCACAAGCAUGGGCUUGAUCAAUAGACUAUGGGUGGGGCAUCUUUUGCUUCUACUUCUGUUAACGAAAAGGAAAUCAAAAUAUGGUGAUGGCAUUAGUUGCAAACAAGUCUCACCUGGACGCAAAAUCCCAAAACCAAAAACUUGUUGGGUUUGCUUAUCACCUCACCUCCUGUAAGUCCUACUCUAGCUUAUUUUGGUUUUUCUUUGUAAUGUAAUUGCUGGUUCUAAGUGCUUGGUUUUGCUCAAGUUGGUAGAACUUGAAGUGGGUUGC